AGGCAUUGGGCCGGGUGGUAGUUAUCUCUGGCUACGGGCGCAGAGACUUAGGUGCAGGCAUUGGGCCGGGAGUUAUAUUUAUUCGGUGAUCUUACUAGCAGCACACCGCGUUUACGAGACGAUUUAUGAGACGUUUGCUGUUUUGAUUUUCGCGAUGCUUUUCCGCGAUACAUGGCUUUUGAAAUAUUUUUGGCAUGCUAGGAUUUUUAUUAAAACCUAAUACUUAUUAUGCUAAUAGUUUUCAUUAUAUAAACUUUGGGGGUUAGUAUCUUGAUAACUGUUUUAUUAUUAUAUAUAUAAACUUGGUCCACUCACCUUUGUUUUGCGCCCCCAU
rnacentral:lncRNA from 1 species